rnacentral:lncRNA from 1 species
AAUUCGAACAAAAUCAGUAAUUAUAAAACAACAGUUUGACUACAAAAAUGAGAUCAUGGAAGAAGCAAUAAUAACACUUAUAUGCAUAUAAUGCCUAGAGUGAUACAUCCCUUGUUCCGUGCCCUAGAUUUUAUUUGAAAGACUGUAAUCUUAGUUACAAUAUUCUUGAACCAAAAUACUGAACAUUCAGAUCAUUAACUUCUUAACUGUAUGAAAUAUUUAAACUGUAAUGACCCUUUCUACCCGAAUGUCAUGUCUUCGGAAUUUUGACAUGACAUUUGCCCAAGGUAUACAUCAUCACAAGAAAGUACACCAUACAACAGGUAAUUUGUAAGGAAACUGUUAAGGCCGCGCUUGGAAUUGGUGUAAUUGAAUACCAGUGUAUUUUUCUUACAAGUGUAACUUACAAACGAAGAGCUAUUUUCAGCCGGAAAUCAAAACGACGGGCGGCGGUCUGUAAGUUUUACGGGUGUAAUUGGAAUGAAAACGCUAAUCCAAACAGGCAAUAAUACUGUAUGUAAGAUUAAGCACCGUCGUUUCCUGACCAAAAGAUAAAGCACCAUCCAGAAGGAUAUAGAAAACAUGCUCAAAUGCUAUCUAUAUUACGCGUCAAUGGUUUAAACAGGCCAUUUUCUAAAGAGGGAUUUCACAGUAAACUAAGAACCGCUCUAACCAGUUGUUGUGAUUUUCUAACCAGUUGUUGUUAUGCAUAUUAUUCCUAGAGUGAUACAUCCCUUGUUCCGUGCCCUAGAUUUUAUUUGAAAGACUGUAAUCUUAGUUACAAUAUUCUUGAACCAAAAUACUGAACAUUCAGAUCAUUAACUUCUUA